GACGAACGCUGGCGGCGUGCUUAACACAUGCAAGUCGAACGGUGAAGCGCCUUCCUUUUUGGUGGGUGUGGAUGAGUGGCGAACGGGUGAGUAACACGUGAGUAACCUGCCCCCUUCUUCUGGAUAACCGCAUGAAAGUGUGGCUAAUACGGGAUAUUCUGGGUCUGUCGCAUGAUGGGUCUGGGAAAGAUAUUGUUUCGGUGGGGGAUGGGCUCGCGGCCUAUCAGCUUGUUGGUGGGGUGAUGGCCUACCAAGGCGGUGACGGGUAGCCGGCCUGAGAGGGUGGGCGGUCACGCUGGGACUGAGACGCGGCCCAGACUCCUACGGGAGGCAGCAGGGGGGAAUAUUGCACAAUGGGCGCAAGGCUGAUGCAGCGACGCCGCGUGGGGGAUGGAGGCCUUCGGGUUGUGAACCUCUUUCGCCAGUGAAGCAGGCCUGCCUCGUUUGUGGGUGGGUUGACGGUAGCUGGAUAAGAAGCGCCGGCUAACUACGUG
rnacentral:rRNA from 1 species